rnacentral:rRNA from 1 species
GAUGAACGCUGGCGGCGUGCCUAAUACAUGCAAGUCGAGCGAAUGGAUUAAGAGCUUGCUAUUAUGAAGUUAGCGGCGGACGGGUGAGUAACACGUGGGUAACCUGCCCAUAAGACUGGGAUAACUCCGGGAAACCGGGGCUAAUACCGGAUAACAUUUUGAACCGCAUGGUUCGAAAUUGAAAGGCGGCUUCGGCUGUCACUUAUGGAUGGACCCGCGUCGCAUUAGCUAGUUGGUGAGGUAACGGCUCACCAAGGCAACGAUGCGUAGCCGACCUGAGAGGGUGAUCGGCCACCCUGGGACUGAGACACGGACCAGACUCCUACGGGAGGCAGCAGUAGGGAAUCUUCCGCAAUGGACGAAAGUCUGACGGAGCAACGCCGCGUGAGUGAUGAAGGCUUUCGGGUCGUAAAACUCUGUUGUUAGGGAAGAACAAGUGCUAGUUGAAUAAGCGGGCACCUUGACGGUACCUAACCAGAAAGCCACGGCUAACUACGUGCCAGCAGCCGCCGUAA